CUGCUUUUUCAAACUUUGGGUUCUUAGUCAUUUAAAAACCAAAACAUUGUGAAGUGAAAAACCAAAGACUAACUGUCAUUUAACAUGAAUCAGUUCAUUUUUUGAUUGCCAUGACAACAGGUAACAUCAGACUGGCAUGAUGUUCUUCGAGGUCUUGGUUCGUCUCACCUUGUGUGCGUCACGAUGUCAGUGAGAGCUCCUCCCUCCAGAAACUCCAUGACCACCCAGAGUUCAUCUCCUACCAGAUGGUUUACAAUGUAUGAACAUGUACAAUAACGUAGCCUUGGCCUUCAAUCCCAUCACAGACACCUUCACAGGUACAUUCACCUUCAGUCUGUCAUCUCCAGGUCCAUCUUCUUCACAGCGACCAGUUUUCCUGUGGUCUUCACCGUGGCGAUGCAGACGAUUCCCGUGGACCCCUCACCGAUCUUAAUGUAGUGAUCCAGGGGAGACAUUGAGGAAGUUCUGGCUGUGGCUCAUCCCACCUUUCGUGGCUCUACAGUUGUGAUGACCGUCGCGUCGAUAAAAGGUUUGGGCCUCUUGGCCGUGUCUUCGAUGAGGGACUGCCAUUGGCGAGGCA